rnacentral:lncRNA from 1 species
UUUUAAAACCUUAGCCAUGGAUGAUCUUUUAAUCAGUAGAUGAAACAAAUCACAAAAUGUUGUGUGUUUUCAAACAGAACUGAGUGAACCAACAACUUCAAACUUCAUAUACUUGAUUGUCACUUCCCGAUAACAUACUGACUAAAGACUUCAGCUCAAACUCCAAUAGGCACACCAAAGUGGGGCAGAAUGCUUCAGAAAAUGUCAACAUAACAACCAUUUAGCAUUCUAACAUAGAUAUCACAUGCUUACUCAAGAUAACGAACGUGCGUUGAUCCACACAAAAGCUCAAAGCCAUUAGAAUUGAAAUAGAUGACUGAAUCUGAAUUUCAGCAAGUUAAACGGAGGCAUCUAUGAUAUAAAUGUUGAGUUUCCUACUUUAUACAAAAGUGGAGACAACGGGAACAAAUCGCUGAAGCCUGGUCGAGUGUAAAACAAUACUUUGAGGCAACAUCCAAACACAAUCCCGUUCAGACUAUCUGUCAAGAAUCUACAAAUUUAUAUCAAAUUGCAGAACGAAAAGUUUUAGAACUCAAUUCAUAUGUAAACUCAACCAAACCAAGCAGAGAUAUUCAUGAAAAUGACAAACAAACACAUUGCGAACAACAAUCACAAAGUCGUACCUAGUUCCGUUGGUUAAUCUUAAUAACAAAUACUUUCCUCUAAUAUCAACUAACCAUCAUACAACUAAUUAAGCUUUAAUUAUCAUAAUGUUUCAACCAGCACUAACACGAGGGAGAAAAGAAAUCAGGAAGGAACCUGAAAAUGAACUUUCAAUGAUGUUGAAGUGACUGGAAAGAGGUACAAAUAAAUCUGGAUAUGCAAAUUCCAGCGACGAACCAAACAUUGAGCAGCGACGAAAAAGCUAACCGGACAGAACACAAUGGAACCUCGAGCAACAGCUGGGAACUCGACUCGGCACAUUGAACGGGACGGCACAAAGGUGGUAACGGAACAGAUUGGGUUUGGAUAUGAUGAUUUGAGGAACUGUCAUAGAGGAUUCAAGAAAGUUUCAUGGCUGUUGUAGCUGUAAUAGACGAAGUAGGUGCUAUGGCGAUGAAGCUUUGUGUAUUUUCUAGUGAGUUCGGCAGUGAGGGCUGAGAGGAGGAGUUGAAGAAGAAAAUGGAAGAGGGUCUCCUGCUGAGAAGCUGCGCCCAAAAUUUUCAGGCGUCUUGUAUAUAUUGUGUGUAUAUUAUUUUUUCUCUGUAUAGGCGUGUGUGCGUUCUUCGAGCUUCGUCAUGAAGAAGCCCAGCUGCGCAGCCUCCAGGCGUCUCUUCUGUAUCUCUUCAACAUUCUGUUCCUUGUGUGUAUUGUUUAUGUGUUAGGGAGGUUAGGAAAUGGC